rnacentral:rRNA from 1 species
GAUGAACGCUGGCGGCAUGCCUAACACAUGCAAGUCGAUCGGUAAGGCUCUUCGGAGUACACGAGAGGCGGACGGCUGAGUAACGCGUAGGAACACACCCUGCAGUGAGGGAUAAGACACCGAAAGGUGUUCUAAUACCGCAUACGGUCUUCGGAUUAAAGCAUUUAUGCGCUGAAGGAGUGGCCUGCGUCAUAUUAGAUAGUUGGUGAGGUAAUGGCUCACCAAGUCGAUGAUGUGUAGCUGGUCUGAGAGGAUGAUCAGCCAGACUGGAACUGAGACACGGUCCAGACGCCUACGGGAGGCAGCAGUGAGGAAUAUUUCACAAUGAGCGAAAGCUUGAUGGAGCAAUGCCGCGUGCAGGAUGAAGGCCCUCGGGUUGUAAACUGCUUUUAUAAGAGAAGAUUAUGACGGUAACUUAUGAAUAAGGGACGGCUAACUACGUG